AUGUGUGGCCUGGCUUUCCCUCCAUUUGAGAACGUAUGUCUACUAACUACACAUUGCUUUCCACCCGUGGGUUCCUCCUUGGAAAAGGCCACUCUCUCCCGCCCCACCCCGUGCAGGUCAAGUACAGGCCUAGAGAUCCCAGCAGAGGUUGGCUGCAGGGUGGCUAUGAAUGCUGAUCAAUUCAUAAGCUCUCCUGGACGUUCCCAGGAAGUUCCAGAUUUGGAGUCCAUCCUCUUGGAUCUGGGGGAAUUGCAAAGGAGCAAAGAGGAAGAGGAGGGGAUGCUUCAAAGAUUUCCAGAACCGUCCACCUUGCCAAGCUUGUUCUCCCGUUUUGAGACCAGCAGCGGCGAGAGGAAGACUCCCGAGGCUGCCUGGCACAGAGACGCAGAGCAAUGGCGGCUAGGUGGAGUCGAGGACGAGUCAGUAGUUUCCCCGUACCCGGAAUCAUUCGGGGAGACUCAGGACCUGCUGGAGUAUGUCAACUGGUUUGCACAGUUCCUGGCUGAGGAAGAGGGCACAAGCACAGGACCUUCCACCUCAACUGGUCCGGCUUCUCCCUCCCCACAUCUGCAACACAGAUCACCAUCAACAAGAGCAGCACUAGAGGAGGUGGAGCGAAUCAUUCAAGAGCUCAGGGCUAAAGAUGAAUCUUGCCGGGCCGUCCCUUCCGAUGUAUUGGAAUAUGACUCUGGGAGCCCCGACACAAGAUGUGAGGCGGCCCAGGCCACAUCAGUUGGCGUGCUGAAUUUCUUAACUUCUUGAGGAGCAGCAUGGCUCAGUGGAAAGAGCCCGGGCUUUGGAGU
rnacentral:lncRNA from 1 species